GUGUCAGCCGCCGCGGUAAUACGGAGGGUGCGAGCGUUAAUCGGAAUUACUGGGCGUAAAGGGCGCGUAGGCGGUCGCGCAAGUCGGGUGUGAAAGCCCCGGGCUCAACCUGGGAAUUGCAUUCGAUACUGCGUAACUAGAGUCUGGUAGAGGGAAGCGGAAUUCCGCAUGUAGCGGUGAAAUGCGUAGAUAUGCGGAGGAACACCAGUGGCGAAGGCGGCUUCCUGGACCAAGACUGACGCUGAGGCGCGAAAGCGUGGGGAGCAAACAGGAUUAGAUACCCUGGUAGUCCACGCCCUAAACGAUGGGGACUAGACGUUGGGGGGAUAAAACCCUUUAGUGUCGCAGCUAACGCGUGAAGUCCUCCGCCUGGGGAGUACGGCCGCAAGGUUGAAACUUAAAUGAAUUGGCGG
rnacentral:rRNA from 1 species